AAAAAAAAAAAAAAAGGACUCCUUUUAAAUAAGGGAUGUUGUCUGCCUGCAUAUUAGAUAAUUUAGAUGGCAUAGGGCAACAUUCAUACAGAGAUACAAACGGCAGUCGGCAGUUAUAGACAGAUAGACGGAAUGACGGCCGACAAUUGGAAUGGAAAAACUGUACGGUGCAAUUAGAGAAGAAAAUCUUCCAGAUUUCUAUGCAAAACUCCAACGGAGAAGUCGAUUUUCGUGCAAUACCGUAGCAAUCUGGGAGGAGGAGUGGAUCCAGCUCGUGAAACACAUCUAUCGGGCAAAGCUAUUUGUUGUUGGUGUUUGCAGAGAAGGGUAUUUCGUCUCUUUUUAGUUUCUGUUUGAUUUUCUCAAGUAAUUGGUGUUGCUUCCAUUUUGUCGACAAGCUUCAACUAAGGUACUCCAUCUCGCACUGUUGUGUAGAUAGUAUAUGUGAUUCUUGCAAACAUUUUUGCUUCUAAAUUAUUAUUUGAUUUUUUAUUAAUUGAGUUAUUGUUGGGAAUUGAAUUCUUGAGUUCCUGAGGUUUCAGGGAAUUGAAUUCUUGAGGUUUCGGGAAAAUAAUGAAUUCUCCCUAACAUAUGAAGAAAGCAAAAGUCGUCCUAUAGUAGUAAAUAAUAGUUAGAUUUCAACUGGAGACUAAUUUUACCAAUAGAAACCCGAAGAAGAAAACCAGACGCUAUGCAUUAACCAUUGCUUUUUUUGCCUUAUUACAACCAGUGUACUGGGCUAGUUAGAUUCUGAACACUGGCUAAUUUAGAAGUUGAAUGGCAAAUUGAAAACAAGAAGUGAAACGUAUCUCAAUAUUCAACAUGCAGAAACAGAAAGAGUUUCAAGGAAGCUUUUUAUUUGUUUAAUUCAUUGUAUAAAUACAUAGACGUACAAGUUAGAUUUUGAUUCUUAUACUGUAUAGCAGUAAUGUCCUUUUGUUAUUGUUUUCAAAUGUGUUGAAAGGAAAAUUAGUAAUAGUAGUGAGGUUUACAUUAUUAACAAAUUGAGAUAUGAGGUGCAUCUAUUAAUAUAUGUUGAAAUAUUGCAACUGUCCAAUAACAUAUGUAAACAUUUUACUUACACAUUUACAGAAAACAUUGAUUCUGAUCUAACACACGAUGUAAUAAUGUUCUGUCAACAGAGAAAAAUGAGUUGUCAGGACGAUGACAUUCUACUGUUCCCAAAUUCUGUUAAGGUUCUUGAAUGUUUCCAAAAGUAUGCUAAUUCUGGUAGUUUAAGGUGCAACUUUUGUGGAUAAGGAGAGCACAUGCGACUGCUAUUUGAUUAAUCUUUUGUUCUUGGCAUUUAGAUUUCCCCCAUGAAGGGAUAAGACACUGAUAGGGAACAAUUAUGGGUCCACAUGCAAAACUAUUUUAUUUGGAGAUUAUGUGGUUGAAACGAGUUUGGGAAAAAUGAGUUUUAGAAAAUAGGAGUCCUACAGGGCAUAAAUAAGAUGACAUCAACUACAAUUCAUAACAAAAGAUGAACCAGAUUAUAGGUUAUAAAUAUGAUCUGUGAUUUAGCUAAUUAUGAUCCAUGUGCCUACACAAUUUUACUAGUAUCUGAACCUCCUUAACACUAUGUUGGAUAGAUGAGAUAUUGUUUUCCGGUGUCUUCUUUCCCUUUAGUGUGAAUUUUUAGUAAAUAAGAUGUGACAUUGCGCACAGAGUUAACCGAGGAGGGAACAAUAAAUGACCAUUUAUAGAAGUAGAAUAGCAUUAUAGGAAAGCUUAAAAAUUAAAACUGAAAAGAAGGCUGUGGCCAUAAAUCAUUAGCUUUUACCCAAAUGGGAGGGAGUGUUUUUUGCAUUUGCAACGAGGAAAGACGUUGCAAUAUCUUCACAAUUCAAAGUACAAAGUCAGAUGCUUUUGUAAAAGAAGGCAGCUUUAGAGAGAACCAUCUGUAUGUACCAGACCCAGGUUACAACCCUCAAGCAAAUUGACAAUAUCACUCUUUCUCAUGUGCUUUGUGAUGCCACUUAGUCUCCCAUAAACCAAACCUGACAAAAGAACACAGUACAAGUCUCAAAAGCUUAGAAGGGUAAAACUCCAUCAGCUCUGAUUUCAUUUAAAAAAAAAAUUAUCAAAGCACGAAUUAUUAGAGCAUUUUUUUUUUUUGUCAGGGAAAAAAUAAGAAGUCUGGGCAUAAAACACAGUUUUAAUUCCCCUCUACGAUUCUUUCUACGAUUCUUGUUUCUUCAUUAUUUUGUUUUAGAUCUCGGGCAUUUAUUUUAUUCCCUUAAAAUUUUUCCCUAUUAUAAAAAAUAAAGCAAUAACUUCCUUUGUAUUGCUUGGAGGGGAUUGUUUCUAUAUAUUUAGAUAUCGAUACAUCUGCCAGACUGGUAUUAUUAUUGCCAGGUUGUAUAUUUGCUGUUUUUCUAAAAAUUAGUAACUACAUAUCAUGUAUGGUCUAGGUGAAUAAAGUGAUAUACAUGAUGGAUAGCAGUUGGGUGCGACUUCGUAAUAGAUUAAGUGAAGAAUAUUUAGAUGGUAUUAAUUCAUUUAUGGAGGUAGCCAAACAAUGUCUGGAUGAGAACAAUGAGGUUCGCAGUCCAUGUCAAAAUUGUCGAAAGGCAUUCUUUCAGUCACUAGAUGUGGUAGAAUCUCACUUAUACCACUCUGGAAUCUCCGCAAGUUACGAGAGAUGGAUUUUUCAUGGAGAGGAACUUGAGAAUAAUAUGGAGGGUGUUGAAAGAAAUACAUUUGAAUUUGACGAAGAAGAAAAGAAUGAUGAGAGGAAUGAUAUGUUAGAAGAUCUAUGUGCUCCCAUGUCAUCCAAAGCUAACUAAACUCGAGAGGAGGAAGAACAUGGAGGAAAUCAUAAUUUCUCGCCUCAAAUGCCUAAUGAAGAUAGCAACCAGUUUGUGGAGAUGAUAAAUGAAGCCUAAUGAACUUUGUUUCCUGGCUCUGAAAUGUCAUUAUUGAACUUUAUGGUGAUAGUGAUAUCAGUAAGUAAAACAUUCUUUAUAUAUAUUGUUUUUUUUUUUUUGGCGUAAUGUUUUUCUAUUUUAUUUUUUAAUGUCUAUCUACAUUUUUUUUCCUUUCCUUUGUAUAUUCGAGUUUUGAAGAUGCAUCAUCUGAGAGUUGAUAAGAAUUUUUAUUCACAUUUAAGGUUAGAGUAAUCGACUAAUAAAAUAUUUUUGAUUACUUAUGGUAAUGGUUGUUGAUCUUGUGCUAAUAUUCAAUGUGAGAUAUUUGAAAUAUUUUAUUUAAGCUAAUAUUUCAUUACCUUCUACAUGUACCUAUUUGACUAAAUUUGUGGUGCUUUUCUUUAUAGGAAUUCUCAUUUAACCAAAGAACAUAUUGAUGGCAAAUCGGAAGCAUAUCUUGGAGUCAAGAAUAUUUUUUGGGUGUCCAGUGAGUUUUUUUGUUAUUUCUUUCACAUUUCUAGUUCUAUUUUCUAAUUUUCAAGUUUGUUGAAUCAUUCAAAGUAGUUCAACCUUGAAAUCACUAGUACUAUAGUUUAUUCGUAUUUGUUUUGAUUUUGGAGGUAACCAAGUUUGUAGAUAGUACCUUGAUUAUUUGGUUGACAACGAUAUGAUUUUGCUUUCUAUUUUGAUAUCAAUUAUAUUUUAAUAAUUGUACGUUGAAG
rnacentral:lncRNA from 1 species